AAAAGAGAAGCGCGUGCCACGUGCCGAUCGGCGAUCCUGUAUCUUCAGUCCCGAGUCGACCGAUUCAAAAUGGUCCAGCAGCAUCCGUGACGCGCAGGACACGUUGGAUGGUCCGCUGGAGCGAGCUGCAAGGAGAUGCUGCGCUAAUCGUGGGAUGACGUGGUGGAGCAGCGAAGGCAGUGAUAAAAGACGGCAGGGGACAACGCAACGGAGACCAAGUAUCCUGAUCUGAAUGAAGGACGCCUGGUGCAUUCUAGGCAGGCAAAAACUGCAAAAACUGCACUAGGAAACCACGCCCUGGCCGACUUGUGUAUCCUCAGGGACAUUUCACCGGCACUCGCAAUGCUAAACUGCCAGAUCAGGGGAGAGAGACGCAGACGACAGGUCAAGUAAAGAGAAGGCAAGGCAGGACAAGACAAACUGAACCAAGACAAGACGAGCCGAGGGAGGACUCCUGAGAAGCCGAGACAAGUCAGUGAGUGAGUGAGUGAGUGAAUGCGUGCGUGAAGGCCUCAAGAAGAGAGAAGAGAGGAAGAGAGGACGAGAUGAGGGAUAAAAGAGAAGAAGAUGGAGUGGAGGGAGGAGAGAUGAUGCAGUUGUGCGUUUGCAAGGAAGGCGGAAGGAGGAACUGCGGAGGGAACCGGUCCCGGUCACUGGGCCACCAGGAGGCCGUCGAACUCGCCACUCUGUCCCUUCCCCUUCCACGGGUUCGUCCCUCUUUCCGUUCCUCCCGGCUUCCCACCUUCAACUCUGCCAUCGUUCUUGCUCAGCUUUAGGCCAGCUCUGCCUCAACUUCUUCAAACAAUGUCAGUCUUUAUGGGCAAGAACGACAAUACCAGUCGAUACCUGCUGAUAUCUUGGGACCAAGAGCUACCUCACGACUAUCUUUCUACUAAGUCAUUUCGCGGCUGAAUCUUCGUCACACUUCUUAUAAUUCCUCCUGAUAAAGAAUACCAAAAAGAAAUCUCUACUUUUUCAACGUGGAUCUUGUGAAUACUUCACUUUGAUUAAAACGUUGAAAUUUUUCUUUCGCCAUUCUAACUGCGUCCAUUAGCUUUUCUUAUU